GUGGCCGUAGCUCAGUGGUAGAGCCUGCGGUUGUGGUCCGCAUCACCUGGGUUCGAUCCCCAGCGGCCACCCC
rnacentral:tRNA from 1 species